rnacentral:rRNA from 1 species
UACGUAGGGUGCGAGCGUUAAUCGGAAUACUGGGCGUAAAGCGUGCGCAGGCGGUUCUCCAAGUCCGUUGUGAAAGCCCCGGGCUCAACCUGGGAAUGGCAGUGGAAACUAGGGGACUGGAAUCUGGCAGAGGGGGGUGGAAUGCCGCGUGUAGCAGUGAAAUGCGUAGAGAUGCGGCGGAACACCGAUGGCGAAGGCAGCCCCCUGGGCUGAGAUUGACGCGUCAGGCACGAAAGCGUGGGGAGCAAACAGG